rnacentral:rRNA from 1 species
AUUGAACGCUGGCGGCAUGCCUUACACAUGCAAGUCGAACGGCAGCACGGGUGCUUGCACCUGGUGGCGAGUGGCGAACGGGUGAGUAAUACAUCGGAACGUACCUUAUCGUGGGGGAUAACGCAGCGAAAGUUGCGCUAAUACCGCAUACGCCCUGAGGGGGAAAGCGGGGGACCGUAAGGCCUCGCGCGAUUAGAGCGGCCGAUGUCUGAUUAGCUUGUUGGUGAGGUAAAAGCUCACCAAGGCGAUGAUCAGUAGCUGGUCUGAGAGGACGAUCUGCCACACUGGGACUGGGACACGGCCCAGACUCCUACGGGAGGCAGCAGUGGGGAAUUUUGGACAAUGGGGGCAACCCUGAUCCAGCAAUGCCGCGUGAGUGAAGAAGGCCUUCGGGUUGUAAAGCUCUUUUGUCAGGGAAGAAACAGCAGCUCUAACACAGUCUGCGAAUGACGGUACCUGAAGAAUAAGCUACUGCUAACUUCGUGCCAGCCGCCGCCGUAA